AUCACAAUAGAAGUGACUGAUGAUGUUGGGGCCACAGUAGACCAGUUGGGAAGUAACUACUGUGUGGAGCAAAGCAACAGAAAAGCUGUCUAAGUACGGACCCACUAACAGCUGCAUAAACAGCUUUUGGGGCAUGAUCACCAUGUAGAGAAGUGAUCAUAAGCCAUUAUUGCAAGAAGGAAGAUCUCUCAUAUAAAGAAGUUCAGGAAAAAGCUCAGCUGUGUUGCACAUGCAUAGAAAGAUGUUUCCAAGUGAUUUAUACUGUAGAGGUAUCUGACAUCUGUAAAACAACCAUGAGAUGCAUAGAUCAUGCAUUGUGUGAUCGUACAUCCUGA
rnacentral:lncRNA from 1 species